CAAAAAUCCUCAAAAUCUUCAAGGAAGGCUGAGGAAGUUAUUGCAAUGUGUGCGACUCUAAUGGCCUCAGGCGGGAAUCAAACCUACGACCCUGGUAUUUCGGUGGAUUCUGACCACUGGGCUACUGAGAACAGCUGCCAAGACCUGACCACAAGUUCAUCUAUAUAAUAUAUAUUGGGGGCAUGCCGUAGCAGGGUAAGGGUAAUUUGUUUUACAUUUUGCGCAAUUUUCUCGAAAGAUGCAACAGUAGGCGUCAGGCAGGAAUGAAAGCCAUGGCCCUGCCAUUUCAGAUGAUUUCAAUGCAUUCUGACCAUUGAGCACUCCAGCUGCCCAAGCCACAAUAUUAAACCAUGGCAGAUGUUAGAUAUGGGUAAAUUAUUGUUUAUUUUGGCCAACCCAGUCUAUAUCAGCUAAUAUUUUUGACAGGACAUUGUAUCUCUCUCGACAGAAUACAAAUUGUUAAGAUAUUUCUUGUAUAUACUUCGAGAAAAUAGUUUACGCUUAGCUUCAUAGUCCAGUUUUCAUACAGAGUUCAGUUAUUUAGUUACUUUAUGUAUACAAGAGAAAAUGUGUAACUCUUUUGGCCAAUUUGAGGAAAUGUUCUGUUUCAUGAUGAGGUUUUAUUGUUCGGAACUCUAACCCUUGUUGGUAUUAAUAUUAGUUAAACGCAGGAAGUCCUUAAUAAGAAAUAGAAAAUCCUUGAAAUUUCUGUAAAAAAUAAAGUGUACAUAUAUUGUCAUGGCGCCGAUGAUUAGCGUUCAAAAGAAAUAUAUUGCAGAGAAAUGAAACGUUUCUGAUGUUAUCGCCGUCUGUCGGCGGCGUCCUGGAAGCCGCCAGCCCGAUGGUCUGUUUGUAAGAAACCGGCGCGGGUUUUCCCAAGAGCCAAUAAAUUCCUAAUUGUUUCUACAAGGGGGUACACGUCGUUGCCGAGCCAAACUGCAAACAUUCUUACAACUGCGUAUAUUGCAGGGGACAGCCACUAAACCACCUUGUCAUCAUGCAGUUUAGACAAAAGCAGGGCCGCCGAGAGGGGGG